UGAAAAACAAAGCUGAAACUUGCAUUCAUAUUGUUUUAGAAUACAUAUUUAAUACAUAUUUAAAUUAGUAAUUAGAGAAACAAUAACCUUUUCUAUGCAUAUAGUUCCACUGUUUAAUAACUACGACUAUUUUCAGGGCCUCAAAUUCAUGCAAGCAGAAAAGUACGUCCUUAUUCAUUCCAGAAGUGAGAAUGUCGAUGCCAGAAUAAAAUAUGGAGCAUCAGGCAAACGGAUGCGCGAAAAGGGUGAGAUCGCAAGCAUGGUAAAGCGAGACGGCCUAAGUUCUCGCCGGUGUGGACACUCCCGCAUACGGCCCGUUGGUUUUCUUCUGUCUUUCAAUCAUCUCCCGCUUUCUUUUUAAACCAACUGCGCGGAUCUGGAUGCGCGUUAAAAUGCUGUCUCUCCGUCACGGAAUAAACUAUACCAGAAACGAAACUCUUGUCAAAAGUUGGAACCUUCAAUCUUUUCGUCGUCGAAUCGUCAAUUUGAGUGACCCUGUCUGAACGUUCCAGAUAAAGAAAUUAUUUAUUAAUGUUUAUUUUACUAUUAAUUAAUUACUAUAAUGAUCACAAGUUCUUCCUUAGUAACCCUCAUACGUUACUUGGGAUGAACAUUUGUUCAUGUUUUAGAUUUGUACUAUAUAAAUUUCUACUUCUCUGUGAUUGUUUUUUAUUCGACACAUUCGUUUAAUAUAGUAUGAGAUUGGGAAUAAAACACAAUUGGUAGAAGUAGAAGAUAAAAUAGGAAUAGGUGAAAACUGUGAAAUAAUCUUUUAUUUUCCUGUGUUCGUAAUGCGAAGACACAAAUCUAUACGUUGUGCACUGGAUGUACAACAAAGUUCUGUGCACGGGAAGUUCGUUCCGAAAAGAAUGAGACCGCAAGCACAGUAAAAUGAGACGGCCUAAGUUUUCAUUGGAGUGGACACUCAACAUAGAGCCGCUGCUUUCGUUCUGUCUCUCUCGAUCAUCAGCCGUUCUCUUUCUAAGGACCGGGUGUGCAGUAAAAUGGCGAGGAUAAAAAUGCUUACUAUGGUGAAGCAGAAUUGCUCACUAAGGUGAGCCAUGACUGUACAGUUUAAUUGUGUUUUAAGUAUUCUUUUAGUACGUAUGGAUUUAUAGUAGUGUGAGUAAGAGGAAAUUAAUUUGGAUAAUGAAAUUUUAAUGAAUCUAUAGGAUAAUUAUAACAAGUUUUAUCGGACAGUGUAAACAAGAAUUUUAACUUUCGUGUGUAAAGUUCCCUAACUUGCUAGAAGUGCAUAUCGUAUUCACCGUUAUUCUUUGGCAAAUAGACAAAAA